GAUGAACGCUGGCGGCGUGCCUAAUACAUGCAAGUCGAGCGAACAGACGAGGAUCUUGCUCCUCUGACGUUAGCGGCGGGCGGGUGAGUAACACGUGGAUAACCUACCUAUAAGACUGGGAUAACUUCGGGAAACCGGAUCUAAUACCGGAUAAUAUAUUGAACCGCAUUGUGCAAUAGUGAAAGACGGUUUUGCUGUCACUUAUAGAUGCAUCUGCGCCGGAUUAGCUAGUUGUUAAGUUAACGGUUUACCAAGGCAAGUAUGCGUAUGCGACCUGAGUGGGGGGUAGCCCACCCGAGAACUGAGACAGGGUCAAGGCUCCUACGAGACGCAGCAGUAGGGAAUCUUCCGCAAUAGGCGAGAGCCUGACGGAGCAACGCCGCGUGAGUGAUGGCGGUCUUCGGAUCGUAAAACUCUGUUACUAGGGAAAAACCAAUGUGUCAGUAACUAUGCCCGUAUUGACGGUACCUAAUAAGAAAGCACCGGCUAACUACGUG
rnacentral:rRNA from 1 species